ACAUACGACCAUAUCCACAAGAAUAUUCGGGAUCCCGUCCGCUCUCCCCUAGACAAGCUUGUGAGAGCCAGAUUAGUAGUUGGGUCGGUGACGACCAGCGAAUCCCUGGUGUUGUAUGUU
rfam:Thielavia terrestris NRRL 8126 chromosome 6, complete sequence.